rnacentral:rRNA from 1 species
GUAGGUGGCAAGCGUUGUCCGGAAUUAUUGGGCGUAAAGCGCGCGCAGGCGGUUCUUUAAGUCUGAUGUGAAAGCCCACGGGCUCAACCGGGGAGGGUCAUUGGAAACUGGAGAACUUGAGUACAGAAGAGGAAAGCGGAAUUCCACGUGUAGCGGUGAAAUGCGUAGAGAUGUGGAGGAACACCAGUGGCGAAGGCGGCUUUCUGGUCUGUAACUGACGCUGAGGCGCGAAAGCGUGGGGAGCAAACAGGAUUAGAUACCCUGGUAGUCCACGCCGUAAACGAUGAGUGCUAAGUGUUAGGGGGUUUCCGCCCCUUAGUGCUGCAGCUAACGCAUUAAGCACUCCGCCUGGGGAGUACGGCCGCAAAGGCUG